AAACAUAUGGGGCGGCACCUAGGGUUGAGAGCCUCUAUAAAAGGGUGGCCGCCCAAGAUUUUGUAGAGCUCUCUCAUGCCUCAAUAACCUCCAUGCCCAAGCCUCCUCUCCUCCUCCCCCAUGCCCCAAAGCCCUUCUUCCUCCUCUUAUGUGCUCAAAUUUCAGCAAGAGAGAUCUUAAAGGUGCUUUGGUCCUGCUGUAGUUCUCAAGGAGCUGAGAACCUUUCUUUCGUCAAGCAAAGGCUCUGCAAGGAAGCUAGCACCCCGGAGAGCCAAGAAGUUGCUAAUCAGCCAUCCAUCUCCGUAUAGAUACCUGUAGAGGCCAGGUACUUUCACGGCUUCAGAAGAACCAAAGGUUUAAGGAUCAUCUACUGGUGAAAGACAUUUGAAGCUGGAUAGAUAUUACCUUCUGCAUCUGGCAUUGCGGUGGUGAAUUUGGCAUUCAUACUGGAAACUGAAUCCACACCAAUUUCGGUAUCUGACCCCGAGGAGCUAAAUUUCUUGCGAACACUUGAAUCCGGAUUACUACUGCCUUCUGUAGCAGGACAUGGAAAGCUAUCCUCGGUGGCAACACUUGGAGCUGGACGAAUGAUGCCUACUGUAGCUGGCUCCUCAGAGUUUAACUCCACCAAGAUACUUGGGGCUGAACCAGUAAUGCUUUCUAUAGCUGGCCCUAUGGAGCUGAAGAACGUUUGAGGAAAUCUUUAAAGGUUUAUCUUGGAUUUGGCAUGCAGUGUAUCUUCUUGAAGUGCAGGUUUCUAAGAUCACUACUGAAACAACAUGAUCUCUCUCUGACCUGAUCAUGGGUUUAUUUAUAUUCAGAUAAUAAACAGCAGAGUCUAAGAAAUAAAAUAUAUAUAAGAUCAAAUGAGGUUCUUCCUGUGUAGUUUUUGGUUUAUUCUGACUCCCUAGAAAUUUAAAUAUAUGCAAAUUCUAAUUGUUUGACUUAAAUCUAGUAGAAAUACUAAUUGUACCAUAAAAAGAUAGAUCAAGUGCAUUAUUCCGUGUCAAAAGAAGAUCCAAAGAUUCAAAGGAGAUCAAACAUUGUCUUUGCCAUUCUAGAUACAGUUACUUUUCUUUCAUUCUUAAAGGCAAACUGCCCUUCUAAUCGAAUGAGGCUCGCCAUGACACUCUGGCUGAUUCUAUUGGAUCUUCUUACCAUUUAUGCUUGUCUUCAGAAGAUCAUGGCUCAUUUGAAAUGACUCUAGGCAAAAAGGAUAGGUGCAUUUCAGCCCAAGAAACCAACAAGUAAAGUGAAAAACUGUUGCAGAGGAAAUCAAAAAAGUAAUUUACCUUUCCAAUCCUCAAAUAUGUGAAAGUUAGCUGCAAAGCCAAUCUUCUCUUCAAUCAGUUUAUCUAAUGAGUGGAGAUGUAUAUUCUUCAACCUUUUCACUAGUUUAUAAAGACCUAUCCCACUCUCCAAGAAAAUAUGAUUAUUUUGGUUUCUU